AUCGCUUCUCGGCCUUUUGGCUAAGAUCAAGUGUAGUAUCUGUUCUUAUCAGUUUAAAAUGAGAUUUUUCAUGCUUAGACAAAAAAGUAACCAAAAUCAAAUAGACAAAAGUCACUAUUUUGCCAAAGUCACUAUUUUGUUUAAAAAUGGUCAUGGUUGAUAUGAGCAAAUGCCAAACACACAAUUUGCCAAAACUGA